GUUCUCUCAGGGCGGUGGUGGCGGAGGCGCGGCAUUCUCCCAGGGCGGUGGCAGCUUGUCGCUCUUGCAUUCGCAGUCGCAGAUCUCCCAGGCCUCCCUCGACGAGAACCUCCUCAGCCCUCGCCAUCCCUCCCCUGCGCGCGAUCAGAGAUUCUCCUUGCAUGAUGACUCGUCGAAGAGGAUGUCUUCAUUUCCAGCCAAUUCAGCUUCUUCUGUGCGUGAUGAAUCUCAGCUGCAAAUGGCAAAAACUUCAAGCAAAGCUAUGCUUCGGUGGAACCCCUCUCUUCCAGAUAGCAAAUAUUAAUGAGGAUGUUGGGCGCAAAUUUCAGCAUGUUGCAAGUUCAGUGCAUAAGAUGGGAAUGGUAUUAGACUCUGUUCAAAAUGAUGUUAUGCAGUUAAACAGAGCCAUGAAGGAGGCAUGACUAGAUUCAGGUAGCAUACAGAAAAAGUUUGUGCUCGUAGAGACCUCUCUCCAGCAAAUUGUAAG